rnacentral:lncRNA from 1 species
UCCAGUUUCCAUCCAAUUUAGUAUUUUGUUUUGCAAAAAAAAUCUGCAUUGUAUUUCCUCCCACUCAGGAACAUCCGAUCUCUGGUUUCAGGGUGCGUUUUACAGGCCAGGAAAGGUGAUUCCAGGUCGGGAAAGGCCAUUCCAGGAAGAUUGCGUUAUUGUCCACUCUCCUGCAUCAUCGUCUUCACCAAAAAAGCUGAAAGCGACGAAACGCCUACCCAGAGGGCAAAUCCAGCUUCCGCUCUCCUCAGAGAUAAUGCCAUUCACCACAGAGGCGCAUUCUCUCUCGUGCCCAUCAAGGCAGAGGCUGAGAAGAAGGUCUGCUUUACAGCAACGGCCUGAGGACCCUCGGCCCCAAGAGGACAUGAGGAUUCACCUUUUGGAACCCCAGGGAGGACGCAGCUCUACACCCUGAGGCCACCAGUGCCCCCCAGGAUACCACCUCCACGCACCCGUCUCCUCCACUCCAUCAGAACACCUCUGCUCCUGACCUUCCUUUCCCCAGAGUUAACACGAGGCUAUCCAAGAAGAGCAGACGGAUACAGAGCUGCACAACUGUGGCUGCAACGUAUUUGCACGAAUGCUGAUGAGAAGUUCCAAACUGUCCUCAUAAAAGACCCCAAACUAUGAUACAGGAACAACUGCUGGGAAUGGAGGAGGGGCCAGAGAGGAAC